UCAGAGACAGGAAGGUUACUACAUGCAGCUCCACAUCUCAUGUCCAUUAAAGUCACUCUUUUGAGGUUUCAGACUGGAGAGAGCAACCAAAUAAAAGUAUUAUGGAGGAAACCAAUGCAGAUACCCUUUUUCCCAAGCGGCAAGCGCGGAGCU